AUGCAGCUUAAUGCACAUCAGAUCCUGUUCUUUCAUUCCGCCUGUGAACAUUGCCUUGAAGUAAUCACUAGCGGACGCCAUCAUAGCUCUGUGAACGGGGAAGAUUUCAUCUCCGUCGCCCGGGACCAGGGUCACAUCACAAAGCAAGCCUUCUACUCUGAGCUGGUCGAAGCCUUGCAGCACCACCGAACUUGGAUGGCAGCAAGUUCCAGAGGGCAGACUGUUGAUGUCUUCCACUAUAUGCUCCAGCAUAUCUUAAACAUGUUCAAGUGUAAAAGGUGGGCUGGAUUAAGACUGGCUGUGAGAAAUUCUUUACUGGACUUUGUCAGCAUUGGGAAGUCCUAGAAAUUGGCUUAGUGCAGGGGUUGGAGAUGGAAGGACUCUCCUGAGCAAUGAAGACUCCAUACUGGAUGUGAAGAGGUACUUGCAAGGAAUCAGUCUCAUUCUGGAAAAUAAAGAAUCGAGCGGCUAUUUUGGAAGUUGUCAGAGCAAGAAGACAUGAGAUCUUUUUAUUACUAAGCUUGCAAGAAUGAUUAAGAGCUGAGGAAGCAGACCUAUGGUCUUAAUAAAACAAUUACUAUGGACAGAUAUAUUUCAUCAUAUUCCCAUGUUUAGUCAUUUCAAAAGACUUCAUCAUGAAAUAAAUUGAAUCAAAUUUGUCACAUUUAUUGAUAGUAUUAAGCAACUAUAAAGUUAAAAGUUCAUAGGAGGCACCAGCCCAUCAUAGAUGACCUUAAUAAUGUACUUACCUAUUUUAAAAUAUUUAUCGUGUUUCAAUAUUUUUGCUUGUAUGUUGUCAUGUUCACCUGUACAUUGUGUUAGUUAUAUAGUGUUUACCUUUAUAUAUAUAUUUUUAAGACAGAGGGGGGAGUGGGAAGAGGGGCAGAGGGAGAAAGAAUCUUAAGCAGCUUCCAUUCCCAAUAUGGGGCCCAACAGGAGCCUCGAUGUCAGGACCCUGAAAUCAUGACCUGAGCUGAAAACAAGAUUUAAGCCACCCAGGCACCCCCCACCUUUAUAUUUUUAAGUUAUUCUCUUUAUUUAAAGUUUUACUUUCAAAUAGUUUUGCAUUUGUUUAUUUUUAAUAAAUAAAUACCAAGAUUGAUUUUGUAGCUCAAUUGAAAGUACAGUUCAUUCAUCCAUUUCAUUCAAGCUACAUGUAAUGUUUAAGUAUCUAGAUCACAGGCCCUAUGCCUACCUUCAGGAUAAAAAGCUGAAUGAAGAAAACAAAAUGCCAGCCCUCUUGGAACUUCUCCUUUUUUGUUGGAAGGAAAUAUAAAAGUAUUAAGCCGUCAAUUAAUUAAUUGCAACUACAUCGUAUACUAACAUAGCAAGCAAAAGAAAAUUAUCAUCUGUCACCAGAAACUGGAGGAUUCAGAAACUCUGAGCCUUGGCAUGUGAUGCACAUUUCUAGAAUUUAUAGUGCUAUAGCAAAAAUGUAAACUUGGGAGCUGAAGUAUACCUGGUCUCUAAAGGCCAAGGAAUGAAUGAGGUCCUGUAGAAAUACAAAAUAGGAAGACUGGGAUCCCUGGGUGGCGCAGCGGUUUGGCGCCUGCCUUUGGUCCAGGGCGCGAUCCUGGAGAUCCGGGAUCGAAUCCCACGUCAGGCUCCCGGUGCAUGGAGCCUGCUUCUCCCUUUGCCUGUGUCUCUGCCUCUCUCUCUCUCACUGUGUGCCUAUCAUGAAUAAAUAAAAAUUAAAAAAAAAAAAACAAAAUAGGAAGACUACCAAAAAUUGAGCCUUAUGGACCAUCACAAUUACAUGUAGGGAAGACAAUAAGGAGCCUGAAAAGCACACUGGAGUGGAUACAGCACAAUAGGAGGAUGCCCAGGAGAAAAUAUGAUGAGAGAAUGUUUAGGAAAGAUAUGUGUUUAAAAGGUGAUGUCUUGGGACAUCUGGGGGACUUAGUCUUUUAGGUGACUGACUCUUGAUUUUGGCUCAGAUCAUUAUCUCAGGGUCUUGAGAUCAAGUCCCAAGUGGGGUUCUGUGCCCAGCAUGGAGUCUCCUUGAGAUUCUCUCUCUCACCCUCCCGCUGCCCCUUCCCUGCAGGUGCACUGUACGAGCAUACGCAUGUGUGUGUGUGUGUGUGUGUGCGCGCGCGCUCUCUCUUAUAAAUAAAUAAAUCUUUUUUUUUUUAAGUGAUGUCUUAUAUUCAGGGAAAGUGAGGACUGGGUUUGGCAGAAGUCAUGUUGCAAGAAUCCAGAUUGGAGUGUAUGGACUGAGGGUAAAUCAGAUGAAAGGUGUUGAAGACAGAGCGAAUGGAAACUUUUCUUAAGGUUUAUCUGUGAAGGGAAGAAGGGAAAUAAUAUAGGCCUGGAGAAAAAAAUAAAUAUUAUUGGGUGUAAUUUUUUUAACCUUUUUACAAAUGUAUUUUGGGAUAGAUUUCCAGGAAUAGAUGUAGUGGCACAAAGCAUAUAAAAUCAAUAUUUUCUUUUAUAUAUCUGCUUAUUUAAUAGGCUAAAAUAUCAGGCAUUGUUGCUUAACUCUGUUUAAGUACUAGUGGGCUAGAAUUUUUUCAUUUGUCUGCUAGUCUUCAUCCUUCUUAUCUGGGUCUUAUGACAUUAACUAGUUUUUUUAUUUUCCUUAUGAAUUAUGUUUUUAGAUAUCCUUAAUUCUUAAUACUCUCCCAUUCCCAUUCCUCUAUAGAUCUUAUGAAUUAUCAGUUUCCAUGUAUAUUGUAAAUAUUUCACUUUUUUUCCUAUAUCCCAUUAGGAUUUUAUUUUUAUCUAUGAUUUGAGAUGAGACUAUAAAUCGAUUUGUGUCUGGAUUGCCAGGCAUUUAUCUCAUUACCAUUUACUGGAAGUUCUUUUCUUCUAUAUUAACAUCUAAGAUAACCUUAAUUCCAAACUUAAUUACUACCGGUAAUACAACAAUUUCUAGGAUUAUUUUCUUGAUUAUUCUGGCCACCUAGGUUUCCUUACUGGCAUCAUGCUCACACUGUAUUACAAUUCAGUUUAUUUUCUGGUAAAGCUAGAUAAUGUAAACAGUUUUCCUGUUCUAUUCUUGGAUAUUUUUGCUUGGUGAUCUUUCCUGAUUAACUUUUUAAUAGUCCUACAGAGGUCAGCAUUGGCUUUAUAAAAAUCAUGAAAUUUUGUGGACUCAAAUAUACCCAUACUGCAAUGAAUAUAAAGUUCUGAGAAACUUCCUUCAUCAGAUGGAAAAAUGAAACUGUAGUAGAGAAUUUCUCUUUCAUAAAAAUCUAAAGUAAGGCACAAAGAUAGAUUAGAAAGAACAAAUGUAAGUGCCAAAAAGAGAGGCCUGGGGGAAAAAGAGGAAGAAUAACUUUUCAAGUAAAAAAAAAAAAAAGAAGAAGAAGAAAAAAAAAAGAUUAAAAAGCCAGAAAUCCAGGGGCACGUAAGUCAGUUAAGCAUCAGCCAUUGGCUCAGGUCAUGAUCCCAGGGUCCUGGGAUUGAGCACCCCACAUUGGGCUCCCUGCUCAACUGGGGAGUCUCUUUCUCCCUCUCACUCCCCCUGCUCAUGCUCUCUUGCUUGCUCACUUGUUCUCUCUCUCAAAUAAAUAAAAUAUUUAAAACAAACAAACAAACCCAGACAUCCAACUUAAAAAAUCACUCAUAACUCACUAGGGGAGAUUCAGAUCCCCAGCUUGCAGAUUCUAUGUGGCAUUCUGCAUGAAACUCCCAGUCUGCUCAAGGCUACUUGACUUUCCUGUGUCUCCGUUUUCUCAAAUGGAAAAUGGAGUAAAAAAUAUUUGUAGAGCUGAUGUAAGACCAUUAAAGAGCCCUUAGGAUGCACCCUUCCUCAGAGUCAGCACUUAAAGAGUGCCAUUAUCUUCAUUUUCUCCAUCACAUGUCUCUUUCUAUAAACUGGUUUGAAAUUGUGCCAGCUUGCUCUUGAUAGCUGACUGACAAAAGUCCACUGAAUUCUAGCCAUAAGCUUGAAGAAAAUGUUUCCUUUCUCCAACGUGUUUGUGCAAACUCAGGCUCCUGAACAGCUGUCUCUACAUACUGUCUGACACAAGCAGGUGGAUACAGCCUGAAAAUCCUAGGGUGUAAACUGCAAAGGUAUUUUAAGUAUAAUCCCAUAUUUGAUGGUGUAUUGAAAUUCUCUGUUAAUAGUAAAUCCCCAGUCUCACAAAUUCUUUUAUAUACCAGAUCUCUUGACUUUAUAAUUAGGAAAAUAUGUUCAUCAAAACUUUGCAUCAGGAUUGCAACAUCCCUUUCUAACUCUGACACAGUAGUAAAAGAGAACAGUCUUGCUCCAUGUCUGUCUGGAAAUUUCCCAAUUACGUGUUGUGAAAAAUCCAGCUGAUUAAUUAUCACAUCUUCAUAGAAUGCUAAUUCCUUGGCAGAGUUCUUAACUGACAAUACUGAAUGCCUAGAGCUGUUCCGUGGCUGUUUUACAGCACUGAUUAUGGUAUCUAUGUUCCUGUUCUGUUCUGUCCCUGGAUGAAAGCCCUUUGAAGGAGAGGACUUUGCCUGAUCCAUCACUGAAUAGGUAUUAAUGAAUGGUUCUGAUAGCUGUUACUAUGUUCCCUAUGACAGCACCUAAUUAAAACACACUAAGACCUCUUGGUUGUCCUGGCAUUGAAUCUGUUCUCUUUUUUUGGGGGGGGGGUAGAUUCCCCAAAUUAAAAGUAC
rnacentral:lncRNA from 1 species